GCCAGGUGAAAUGGUGCGCACCUGUAACCCCAGGAACUCUGGAGGCUGAGGCAGUAGGAUUGCUGGAGCCCAGGAGUUUGGGGCCAGCCUGGGCCACAAAGAGAGACCUCAU
rnacentral:sRNA from 1 species